AGUGAACGCUGGCGGUAGGCCUAACACAUGCAAGUCGAACGGCAGCACAGGAGAGCUUGCUCUCUGGGUGGCGAGUGGCGGACGGGUGAGGAAUACAUCGGAAUCUGCCCAGUCGUGGGGGAUAACGUAGGGAAAUUUACCCUAUUCCCCCAUAGGACCUCCGGGGGAAAGAGGGGGACGCCAAGACUCCCCCCGAUUGAUGGGGCGGAUGUCGGAUUAGCUAGUUGGCGGGGUAAUGGCCCACCAAGGCGACGAUCCGUAGCUGGUCUGAGAGGAUGAUCAGCCACACUGGAACUGAGACACGGUCCAGACUCCUACGGGAGGCAGCAGUGGGGAAUAUUGGACAAUGGGCGCAAGCCUGAUCCAGCCAUACCGCGUGGGUGAAGAAGGCCUUCGGGUUGUAAAGCCCUUUUGUUGGGAAAGAAAUCUUUCAGGCUAAUACCCUGGGAGGAUGACGGUACCCAAAGAAUAAGCACCGGCUAACUUCGUG
rnacentral:rRNA from 1 species